GGGGAACCUGCGGCUGGAUCACCUCCUUA
rnacentral:ncRNA from 2 species